rnacentral:lncRNA from 1 species
UGGUGACCUACUAUAGACUAGAACAAUACGAGGAGAUGCCAGUGCUGGAGUGGGCAGUGGUGGUGAUGCCAGAAGCCAGAAGGAGAGCAUGCAAAUGGGAGAGGUUUCUUAGGUUUCGAUUGGGAUUUUUUCUUAAGCAUACAGGUUUUUGUGCGAGUUGUAGUGGUAUGAUCGGCAAAAAACCUAGGAGGCAGCAGUGUCGGUGCUGGAGCAAGCAGUCGUGGGGGUC